AGUAAUAGAAAAAUUAUUGUUGCCAAUGGGUCAGUAGCUACUGUUGCAGGAUAUGGUAAUAUCCAAGUAAACCCCAACCUUAUGCUUAAAAAUGUUCUCCAUGUUCCCAAACUCUCAGCCAGUCUUCUCUCCAUAAAGAAACUAACCUCUGAUCUCAAUUGCUCUGCAAUUUUUUCCCCAUCUCUAUGUGUUUUUCAGGAAAAGGACUCG
rnacentral:lncRNA from 1 species